CGGGGCGGCCCCCCGGGAAGCCGGUGGUGGCUUUGGAAGCUGGAAGCUUACAGCUUACCUGGCCUGUUCAGUCAGCUGCAGAGCCUCGUGCACAACCUCAGGGAAGAUCCUGCGGUCACUCAUGUGCUUACUCCGGCACUUCACAGCUAAAGUAGGAUGCCUCCUCCCAAAGCAGAGAAAUUAGCUGAGAUACCUGCCUCUGAGCAACUCUCUUCUGCUUAUUGUCAGGAUGUGACAGACUCCAGAGGUUGUCAUUCCGUUCAUCCUUCUGCUCAAGAGCCUACUUGCCCAUCAGAAAACUCUUUAGAAGUAAUCAUCAUUUUCAGCAAAAUAGCAGACUGGAAACUAAACAUACAACAGUCAGAGGUUUUUCUGCAUACCAACUUGAGUUUACCAAAAAAAGAAAGAAAGAAAGAAAUCAGAAAGACACCAAAGAAAGAAAUUGAAGAAGACAUUAGAAGAUGAACCGAACUUAUAUGCUUAUGGCAGAAUUAAUAUUGUGAAAAUGAUGUCACUAAAUGUUAUCUAUAGAAUCAAUGCAAGUUUUAUCAAAAUCUCAAUCACAUUAUUUACAGAACAAGGAAAACCAAUCCUACAGUUGAUAUGGAGACACAAAAGACCCUGAAUGAUGACAGCAAUCUUUAGCAAAAAGUGCAAUGCUAAAGGUAUGAAAUGUGAUCUCAGAUUGUAUUGCAUAUCCAUAUUAACUAUUCAGCAUGGUCUUGCCAUAUAACCUACCUUGUACAGCAAAGGAAUGGAAUAGAGAAACCAGAAAUAAAAGCACAUAGCUACAGCCA
rnacentral:lncRNA from 1 species